UUUUGAUAACUUCCGAAUUACUCUCUCACUGUCACACUUCUCUCACAACCGCACUCUCUAUAACAGCACUUCUCCGCCGUAUACAUCGCAUUUCUCUGCCGCCUCCUCACAACUCUGUAAACUUCAGCUACUCACCAGAUUCACAAUGGGAUAGGUGUUGUAAGGAAAAAAUUCAAUAGACUUUGAGUCAAAUCACUGUGGAUGAGCCUGUAGUAUCACCAGAUGAUGCAGUUGGUAAAGUGCUAGGAAAAGAGCACUCUGGAAGGGUAAGGUGUUUGGGAUUAGGAGUUCUACCCACUAGAGUUUUUAACCAAGCAAGACCUCGAUUCAAUGGUAUGAAUAAUUCAAGGGUUUCAUGUUCAUCCAAUUGGCAAGAAAACUACGACAACUUGUUCAAUGCUCACAAUCAAAUGAUGGCUGCUUUCAAGUCAUAUAUGAUUAUGAAAGAAGGGACAUUAUCAGAACAAUUUGAGGGGUUAUUUACUUCUCCUCUUACAAUGGUAAAUAUAACUUUUACAUUCUCUUUUUGAAUGAAUAUAACAUACUUGAUGAUGUAUGUCAUUAUUGUAAUACAUUCUUGUCAACUAACAUGUCUCGAUGUUUAACUAUGUCACGCCCCGAGCUACCCCCGAGAUGCGGACACGGAACCUAGGACCACAAGUGAUCCCAAACUUACCCUGCUGGCAUGAUCAUGAGCAUACUAAAGAUCUAACUUCCGUGUAUGCCAAGUACACGGAGUAAAGGAGAACCCAUACUCUCACCCGACCCCAAACUCGAGCGUACACUGCGCAGAAUGAACCAAAAUUUGGGUAUUCUCGAUGAUGAUCACAACCCUAAACUUUCAACACCGGUUGAUGCUCAUGAUCAAUUAUUACCUGAAAAUCUUGGGGAAGGUACAAAUAACACCUACCUAAACACGAACGUGUCUACUCACGAGGGCGUUCCAAGUCCAUCGCCCAAUCGAAUCGGCUGGUCGUAGGCUCAGACGAUGAGCAUGACCCGCAGUACGUGCCACCAGGCACCCUCACUCCUACUAGUGCUGCCCGCACCACCAGAGCCAUGCCCACGAGGGUGGAACCCGGCGUAGUACUGCCUCCAAGUCUGACGAGGAGCGCAUACUGAACGGCACACCUUCUGAGUUGGUUGGACAUUCCGAGGGAGCGUCUGGCUCCGUGGAGGCAUCCGGUUCUGAGGAAGCUUCUGGCUCUGUGGAGGCUUUCAGAUUUGAGGAGACUUCUGCUUGUACCUCAUCUGGUGAGGCUGAUAGUGCCGACUCUACUCUAGCACCCCAGACUGGCGUCCCCGCUCUGGUUGCUGAUCAGCCCAACCGAUGGUGUGUCGAGGGGAAGUAUCAAGUCACAUUAAUGCCAAGAUUCCCAAUGACAAGGGGUUCAUGACUCGGACCCUGACACUUGAGCGGCGGGUUCUCACGGGGAGUCUUCCCACCAUGCCAUCCAUUCAUGAGUUAUUCACUAGACAUCGGUUGGAGUGGACGACUCGAGAUGUAGGCCACUAUAGCGAGGAGAUGGUCCGAGAUUUCUAUGCCUCCUAUGUGUCGACUCUCCGAUCUCAACUGGACAGUCGGGCAGCCCCGCCAAACAUGCACCGUUAAAGUACGUCUGAGUCCGCGGCAAACAGGUUGAUAUUUCCUUGCAAGCCAUUGACAGGUUCCUCUAUGGCGCAGAUGUAGAUGCCACCCGGACCCCUCUCAUCGCUGAGUUUGACUAUCGGUGGAAGUUGAUCAAAGAUGGCUAGUUACAGCGUGAGCUAGAUGUGAGAGAGACCACCAAGCGGUGGAUUGAACAGAACCUCUCCGUAGAUGGUGAGGCUGUCGAGUGGGUGUUGGAACCCAAGAAGAGUAUCAAGAAGGCCAACCUCACCUUCACAACCAAGUUCUUAUGGCUAUUGGUCCGACACUGCCUUUCCCCUACUACUGCUGAUAACAAAGUCACCUGGGAUCGUGCAUUGCUGAUGGCGGCCAUGGUUGCGGGGUUCGAGGUGUACUUGACAUGGCUAUUGCAGGCGGUGAUACAUGAGAGGGCCUUUAAGGCCACUACUACUUACCCCUUCCCGUGCAUGAUCUUUGAGUUGUGCAUGCUGCAGGAGUGCCCAUGUGGCACAUUGAUGUGAUCAAGACCCCACCCGACACAGUGGAUAUUGGCCUUAUUUGGGAUGAGGCCAAUGAGUUGUCUCCCACAGAGGACCCCGUCCAGAGGUGCAGCCGCUCGGUGAGAACCUGACGGCCGCGGUAGAUCAAGCCCAAGCGGCUAAUCCGUCUAUAUUCGAUCAUACCAACACCACCCUGGUUGAGUCUAUCCUGGGUGCUAGCACUGCUCUGAGCUCCUCCCGCUCGACUCCUUCUGCUACACUGGUUUUGCUUGCUAGGGUCCAGAAAUUAGAGGCCCAGAUGACCACACUUCUGCAUCACAUCCAGCGUUGGAUGCAGAGGUCCAUUGCUGAGGCGGAGGAGCGGAUAGAGAGGAAGAUGUCCCAGCAUACUGAGUGGCAGAUCAUGGAGGUUCACCAGCGCUUGGAUGCAUUUUAGUUGCGGGUUCUCGCCCGGCCAGCCCCUACAGUGGAUUUGAUGACUCUCCAGGCUGCUGUGGAGAUUCUGAGAGCAAACUUGGAUACCAUACUGGAGGCUCAAGUGCCUGAGUCUCAGGCUCCUUGUGCAGAGCCUGCUAAGGACACGGUGUUAGCUGCCCUGUUCUCCACCACUGUUGUGCCACUACCUCCCCUACGAGAUUGUGCCAAAAGGCACUGAGUUAGAGAUGAGGAUGAGUCUCGGGCACGGAAGAAAGAGUGCACUGAGUUGGAGGCUGCGAGGAGAGCCUCACUGAUUUAUGAGGAGGCCCGCUAGUUAAGGGUUCUGAAGUGGCUGCUGGGGAGUCUAGCUCCACAGUUGUUGAGACUGAGAGGAGCACUACUGAUGGUGCUGUUAUUGUUGAGGACACAAAUGAUGGUGUCCCUACUAUAGAGGGAGCGGGUUCCGGGAAAUCGGACCCGUCAGCAUGUUGAUCGUCGGUGCUUUGCGCCUCAGAAAUCUGUCCAGGAUGAAAACGUGGAAGAAUUGUGCUGAAAUUGCAAAUGUGAUGACCUACAGAGCUAUCGACGGUCCAUAGGUGGACACCGUCGUUUGAAGAAAAUAUUGCUGAAGGAAAAGAUCGGAGAAUUCUGACUAAGUGUGAGGCUAUGGAGGCUCUCUACAAACCGUCACCUCCACGACGGACCGUCCUGCACAUCCGUCAUCGUUAACAGAAAGUAGCUCCAGUACCCAACUUGAAAAGAUUCUAAGUGUGGAGAAACGGAAGCCAUCGACGGAUCGUCGUGCUCUCAACAGACCGUCAUCCUUGUCCGUCGAUGGUAAUAGUGAGUUGGAGAAGAAAGCAACUGAAAAAGAAGCUAAGUGUGGAACGACGAGGGGCCUCGAUGGUCCGUCGUGGCCUCGACGGUCUGUCGAUUCGGUGGUCGACUCAUACAGGUUUUUUGGGCAGAUUUUCCUUAAAUAGAUUUCCUUUUUAUGUUAGGACUUCUUUAUUAUAAAUACUGGUAAAAACCUCAUUUUUGAGGUUAGACUCUGGGUUAUUUUUCAGAAAUCGUUUGUUGCAAGAGUAUUGAUUAAAUCAAGUAAUCUUUUGGAUUUUCUUCAA